GGGCUUGUGGUUUAGUGGUAUAAUACUCCCUUAGCAUCUAUCUUAUGGGCCUCUUCUUUCCAAGAAAAAAGCCCACGAGAAAAUGGGAGUGGUCCGGGGUUCGAUUCCCCGCGAGUCCA